UACAGAGGGUGCAAGCGUUGUUCGGAAUUAUUGGGCGUAAAGCGCGUGUAGGCGGCUUUGCAAGUCGGGUGUGAAAGCCCUCGGCUCAACCGAGGAAGUGCGCCCGAAACUGCAGAGCUUGAGUACCGGAGAGGAUGGCGGAAUUCCCCAAGUAGAGGUGAAAUUCGUAGAUAUGGGGAGGAACACCGGUGGCGAAGGCGGCCAUCUGGACGGAUACUGACGCUGAGACACGAAAGCGUGGGGAGCAAACAGG
rnacentral:rRNA from 1 species